ensembl:lncRNA
GGGAGGAGUUAUUGCAAUCCUCAGGACGAGUGGCCAGUGCGAGAGCGAAAGAUGCCCCAAAAAAACGGAAAGGACAAUGAUAUUAGGUAGCGAACUAUUUCAAGUGAUAUUUAGCUAGUCCGGUUCAUUUGAUUGUUUUUGUGGAUAUGAAAACGUCCAGACAAAGGGAAACAGAGAAUGUGAAGCUCCGUUUUGCUUAAUCAACCCCUCUUACCGAAAGCUGAUAUAUGAUAUGGAAGAAGGGGUACAUUGAGGGAGAUCACACAAGCAAUACCUGCAUUCUCCAGCUCGUGGUAUCUACUGGGAUGCAUCAUAAGUGGAUAAAAUGCCAUGACUUCCAUGCAAUGGAGGGUUUACGCUUCUCUAUGGGUUCAUUGGGGAUUUCCAAGACCGUUCUGCCCAUUCAAGGCUUCGGUGCAGCGGUUCUAGGGCUGAUGCUGUUGGUGACAAUGAUCACAGCAGGUUCACCUGCAGCAGGAGCAGACCUGAGAAUAGAGGAGACAGACCAGAGUAGAGGAGAGCGUGGAGUGACAC